CUGUUUGAUGAGGAAAAAUUGGAGGAAGUAGUAGAUCAAGAAGGAGGUUCGUCGUUGCCGAAAUCGAAUCGAAGAAUUUGCGCUCGUCUACAAAUCUUCGCAAGAAUUUUUAGAGAUCACAUCUCGAAAUACAAAGAUGAUGCACCCAGAAUUAAAAUCGUGCAAAGAAUAAAUGCUGCAAGGAAAACAAAAGUAGGAGGAGAAGAAGAAAAUCCUGACAACAAUGGAAACCAAGAACGUGGUAGAGGAAGGACAUGACGUGUUGGUGGAAAAAAGAGACGUGGUCCACGUGGACGUGUCGAUUAGUAUUUUUUAGUUCAAAAAACAUUUGAGUUUAACAUGGUUUAUUUAAUAGAUGCAAAGAAUUAGAAUGUCGUAGCUAAAACAACUAACCAAGUAGUUAAUGUUUUCUUUAUUAUUGUUCAAGAGUUAUAAUUACUGUUACUUUUGAUAUAGUUACUCUUUUAUAUUUCAGUAAUUAUGUGAUAUAUAAUAGAAAAAAUUACUAUAUGACCUCUAAA